GCUCAGAAUGAAGCCGGGAGCUCGGCGGGGCGGCUUUUAUCCGCACUAGCCGGGGCCACACGAUCCGGUUUCCCUGCAUUCCCAUUGGUGGAAGGUGGCACGUCCAUCAGACCGCACGGGCACUCCUAUUGGUAGGACCCUCGCCCUAGGGUGUCCCCCGACAAGCCUGCCACACCUUGGAGCUUUCAGCAGCCCCAAAUCACAGCGACAGGAGCAAGGUCUUCACGACAGAGGGACAGCCACCGUCCACGGUGACCGAAGGAAUGUCAUCCAGAUAGCACUUCUGAAGAAAGUGAUAAGGCAAAUAAGUUUGCCAUUGACAAGUGACGUUUGUAGAGUGAAUUCGGUCUCUAAGACAAGGGUAAGCUAUGUAAAAAAAACAAAACAAAACCCCAAACCAAAACACCCACGCGCGCAUUCACCGACAGGUUGUGUGGGAUCUGGCACCUCUAGCAACGCGGGAAGCAGUUUUGUAAACUCAGUAAAAUGAGUACUUAUUGGAAAUCGUGCCGAUUGCAAAGGAGAUCAGAGGCAGAACGCUUUCAGAAUUCCUUUUCCAGAACAGGGCAGGGUUAUUAUAAUGAUCCUAUUAAUCGGAAAUCAUUAGGGAAAUUUGCAUAUUGAAGCUUAUUUACAUACACUGCCCUUGAGAAGCUGCAGGUCUGUGCCCUACAGUGUAGGUGGCAAAAGAAUGUUAUUAAUUAUGCAGAAAUCGUGAUUGCUGGUGUCACAUUCCAGCACUUACAGUAUUUUUAAAGCUUUAUGGCAGCCCUAGCCAAUGAUCGACAUCUUCACAUUAUAUAAAAAACAUUCUGUCAUAUAUGAGGUUUGGAAUCUCUGUCCUGGUCCCGGGUACAGCUUCAGGUUUUUUCCUUUUUCUUUCUUUUUUUUUAAAAAUUUGCUGUAAAUCUUUAAGAACUCAUUCCUGUAGUCUAAAUAAAAAAUGUGCAAGCUAUUUACUCAAAUACUUUUCAGUUACUUCAACACCUAAUUCAACUGAAGACCACGGAUAAAUUAGUUGUGUUUUGAGACUUUUAUUUUUCCAGAAAACAAUAAACUAGAAACUUCGAGAAAAUGUAGUAGUUGAAAGUAUCUUGUUUACUUUUGUCUCAAUCUCCAUCUCCUUUGCAUGUAAGAAAGAGGAAGGGGCAGAAGAAAAAGAAAGGCUAAAUAAUGGAGAAUCAGUAGUUUUCCCUUCUAUUGAUGAAUUCGUCAGCUGGUGGGCCAGCAGGUCCCUGUCACCAGCUGCAGCCAUGUGCCUGCCCCAGGGCUUCUCUUUAGGGAGGCAGAGUUGGUGGUGCUGAGGUGAUGUGGCACUUUCAAAAAUUCCAGCCACUUCAGUUUGGAGACGGAGGUGGAUGGUUUCCUGACCAGCAGAGAAGUCUGCGUAGGGUCUGGCCCUGCCAAUGCCGCUUGCAACUCCGCUCCUGACAGUGUUCAAUUAACAACCUCUCCUCUGAUAUUAAGUCUGGAAAUGAUUUAACACCCGAAUCCCCCACAGUUCGAGCCUUUUGAUGUACUUUGUGUGCAUGUGUUUCUGUCACAUACAUGCCACAGUGGAACAGAUUUUGUUUUGACACUAUUUUGGUUCAUGAUGUUAUACUUUGACUAUUUUACAAUAAUAGCCAACGUAAACAAACAUCUUUGGGAUUCUCAAAUUAUUACUUGUGAUUCUUGGACAUUGCGGCUCUGCGAUACUGACGCAUUCCUAGCUUUUUCCAAGGACACCGUAUGUUAACAUCCGUGCCAGCCUCAUUAUCCCAACAGCCAGGCUGGUUCAUAAUGAGCCUUGUGCGGUACUGCUUUACACACUUGCAAAGUUGAUCAAGGCAGUGCCUUCUCCCAUGAUCAUUUUUGUACCCUGAUGUAGUAAAACUGCUAAAUAUGGUGAGCAUUUUCUGGUGUUUCUUUCUUUAGCUGCCAUGUCAGAGUCCAGUCAGCUAGAUUGCGUUGAAUCCCAUUCGACUGGCACCUACCCAGUUCUACAUUCAUUUUAAAGAUCAUUUUAAGGGGAUUAUGAGGCUGUAUAAGUUAAUGAUUUCUAAAAAAAUACCUGCGUUACUAGUAUGUCUGUCUCAGCAAGUCCAAUACGAAAUUACCUUAAAAAUUGUGUUUUCGUGGGGAAAAUGGUGUUGGAGCAUUGUCGGGGUGGGUUAAAAGGCAUUGAAAAAUCCGUCAAUUGGUGUCUCUGUGGGUUUGCAUUUGAGGCCUCUAAAGUUCAAACGGUCCCAGCUGCAGAAAGGGGCAUGGAUUUGCUAGAUCCGUGGGUGGUGGCAAGGUGUGAAGGGCUUCCGGUGGGGGUGGCGGCACCGUCGCCUCCGCUCACCCGCCGGGACGCCCUCCACUUAAAGCUCCCCCGACCGGGCCCUGGGGCUCAUUCCCUCGGUCUCCGUCCCGAGCCGGCCGGCGGCUCCCCACGCUCUGGCCCCUCGCGGUAAUCAGCAGCAGCUCCGGCCGGGCCGCGGCCGCCCGUGCAAUCCCCGCGUGAUGCAACGGGGGCGGGAGGAGCCUGCGGGGGGCUCGAGAUCCGCCCUGCACAUCUGGCGCAAUUGGGAGCGCUCGCCUUUCUUCCCCCCGGUUUUGUUCUCACAGCUGUGUCCAUUCCGCCUGUGACCCCCCGAGUGAUCCCUGACAGUUGGUGCAAUUUUCCUUCUGGGAAAGAAUGAGCCACCUUGGACCUGAGGACCAACACAUUUGUUUUCAGAAAACUUAAGAGAACAAGGGUCUCCUGUGAUACUGUUUGCCCUUCAGAAGACACCACUGGUAUGAAGAUGGUAAGGCUUGAGUGCUGAGAAGGGGCAAUAGCUGUUGGCAGCUGCCCAAAAGCCUCCAUCUUGCCCUGUGACCCCAUCCCCACGUGGCCACUUCUGAUCCUGAGAAAAGAGGCAGGAAUGGGUUGAUGCAACUACAAUUCAUUACAUCCUACUCUGAAGUCAUGAGUCCCGUAUUCCCAGUCAGGGGCCCCAAUAAAAUGCAGAAGAGCAGAACUCUUGCAAUGAAGUGUCCCAGUUCUUUUGGCCGCUGCUAGUAUGUGGAGGGGGGGGUGCUUGGAGGGAGGUGGGAGCUAAAGGCUCCCGCCUCUCUCCCUUUCAAGAACCCUUGAAAAAGCCUUGGCCUUUAGGGGGCAGCUUUAACAUGGCCGUUUGUUUCUUUAUGCUUCGUGAGCAUCUGCACACCUGACUGCAGUGUUUCCCCAGGUGAGUCGCAGUGAGCUCUGGGCUCCCGGCUUCUCCAUCUGCAUGUUGAGGUUUAAAUAAGGUAGAAGGCCAGAAGGGAGCAUUUCAACUCGGAAUUUACCCCUCAAAGUGAGUCUGAGAACCGGCAGCCUGGGCACACUGAGAAAUGCAGAAUCUCAGGCUCUAGCGCGUGAGAACGAACCGGAAGCUGCAAUUAACCAGAGCCUAGAUGGCUCCUGGGCAGCGAAGCUGAGAUGUGCGGAACUGACAUUCUAUCUGAGACUGUGGACAGAGCCAUCUAGCAAAAAUGCUCACGCACUCACCUUUAAAGUAGCAUCUUUUCAAGAGCAACACCAUCCCUUUGAAUCACUUAGCAGACUUAACAGCACUGCUGUCUCUGGCUUUCACAUUGACUAGCAGCGCAGGGAGCAACGGUCCGUUUUGCAGAUAAAGUGACUGAGUGCAAAGGGUGAGCCCGUAGCCACACGGCUGGGGUGUCACAAGGGAAUCAGGACUGAAGCCGAGGGUGCAUUUCCUUUUGCUGCCCCACCAGGGUGGCAUGGGGGAAUGCCUGUGGGCAAGGACAUCUAAGGGGCCUUGUGUGGGAAGCAAGUCUGGGGAUCACAUUUGGCACUGGGGGUGCCAGGUCACCAGUGUGGGCGCUGGGCUGGGGACGGUGCCCUGACUCGGCUGAGACCACAGAGCCUGGGAAUUGCUGGGCUGAAGCUCCCACCCAGGGCCUCAACCCCACACUGUGUGGCAGCUUGUGUGCUCCCACAUUCUGGUGCAGGCCAUCGUUUGGCCUGAUUUUACCAAGGCUGAACGAGACCCUCAGAGGUGGGACCCGCUUGCUUUCCUGGCUUACGUGUCAGAAGACUGCCCUGUCACGUGUGCAUCAGCACAGCCAGGAGAUGCUGGAGUCGGAAUCUGGACCCACACCUGUCUUGACUUCAAAGUCUAAUCUUUGCUCUGAGUUACUUCCUAAGGCUUUCUGAGAGUGUGCUAGACUCAUUUAGUUAUCUCUGGCAGAACUGCCUGCUUUAAAAAAGGAAGCAUGUACUGCAGAUAUUUUACCAUAGUUUGAAACAUGACAUUUUGAAAAAAAAUAUUCUUAAC